rnacentral:rRNA from 1 species
ACAAGCGGUGGAUUAUGUGGAUUAAUUCGAUGCAACGCGAAAAACCUUACCUACCCUUGACAUGCUAGGAACUUGCCAGAGAUGGCUUGGUGCCCGAAAGGGAACCUAGACACAGGUGCUGCAUGGCUGUCGUCAGCUCGUGUCGUGAGAUGUUGGGUUAAGUCCCGCAACGAGCGCAACCCUUGUCAUUAGUUGCUACGCAAGGGCACUCUAAUGAGACUGCCGGUGACAAACCGGAGGAAGGUGGGGAUGACGUCAAGUCCUCAUGGCCCUUAUGGGUAGGGCUUCACACGUCAUACAAUGGUCGGUACAGAGGGUUGCCAAGCCGCGAGGUGGAGCCAAUCCCAGAAAGCCGAUCGUAGUCCGGAUUGUUCUCUGCAACUCGAGAGCAUGAAGUCGGAAUCGCUAGUAAUCGCGGAUCAGCAUGUCGCGGUGAAUACGUUCCCGGGUCUU